UGGAGCUGGUAAUAACAUACUACUUUGUGCCUAAAUGCUCACGAGUGGAACACUCGUUUUGAGUUUAGGAACACCACAGGUAGCACCGCCGCUCCU
rnacentral:ncRNA from 1 species